GAUACACCCCCCUCUGGUGGUGUUUUCCUAAUAUUAUCCGUUGAAUGGACAGGUGGGUAAUUAUAGGCCCAGUGCUAUUUAAGGAAGUCAGCCCUCCUGAUUGUAUGUCUUCCACCUUUCCCUGGAAGAGGGACUUCCUGGUCAUUGUUGUUGGGCGUGGGUCCCGUGUGUGUACCAUUACUGCCAGCAGCAGCUCCGUUGUGCUUUAACCCGGUGUGGAUUCAUAGUGAAUGUUGCUAUCCGGAUUUGGGUGUGAGAACCUUAUCGGCUCAGCUUGUCGUGAGCAGUGUUAGCCGCACAGGCGUUAUCUCGCCACCUGUAGUGGGAGACGGAACCAUCAGCAAUCGGUACGUAAACGUAAAGUUUGUAUUGUGUCUAUUAGAACCAACAAUAUUGUAACUGUAGCUUUUACUACAUCUACAGAUUGGCAGAAGCAUCGGCGGUGUUCGUGCUGGCCUUUGGCCUGUUUCCGCAACCGACGAGUUUGCUGCUUUGUCUCCACUGUUUGUUUAUUUAAUUUAUGUUCAUUUACCUUCCGAGGGGGCCUGUCAGUCUGACGACCAUUCGCCGCCUCUUCAUCUGUAUCUCCUCGCAGUGCAUGACCGGUGACCCGGGUUGUCCACCUAGCCCAGUAUACCGCGCUGCGAAGAUGGGAGAUAUUGUCGGCCGCCCUAUUUAAGCUAAGUCCUGUUCUGAUACACCAAAACCACUAAAACAGUGUACCUGUCCUGUAAGCUGUGCAUUGUGGACUCUUGAGUUAUUUAUAUCUCUAUCUAUCUAUCUAUCUAUCUCUUUCUCUCUCCUC